AGCAGCCGCGGUAAUUCCAGCUCCAAUAGCGUAUAUUAAAGUUGUUGCAGUUAAAAAGCUCGUAGUUGAAUUUCGGGGUUAGUAGGUUGGUCAUGCCUCCGGUAUGUACUGAUCUCACUGAUUCCUCCUUCCUUAUGAACCGUAAUGCCAUUAAUUUGGCGUUGCGGGGAAUUUGGACUGUUACUUUGAAAAAUUAGAGUGUUUAAAGCAGGCUAACGCUUGAAUACAUUAGCAUGGAAUAAUGAAAUAGGACGUUCGAUCUUAUUUUGUUGGUUUCUAGGAUUGACGUAAUGAUUAAUAGGGAUAGUUGGGGGCAUUAGUAUUCAAUUGUCAGAGGUGAAAUUCUUGGAUUUAUUGAAGACUAACUACUGCGAAAGCAUUUGCCAAGGAUGUUUUCAUUAAUCAAGAACGAAAGUUAGGGGAUCGAAGACGAUCAGAUACCGUCGUAGU
rnacentral:rRNA from 1 species